CCCCUGCCAGGAGGUGGCAGGGGAGGGUCCCACAGAGCGGGCGGGCCCUGCAGAUAGCCGAGCCGGAGCAGCUGAUGCCAUGUGUUAUGAAUAUGAUGGUAAUUCGUGCUGAUAGAAUAUGAUUGUUCAAAUAAUAUAAUAUAAAACUUUAAAAUCACACCAGCAAGGGAGAAGGGGAUUGCUUCACAGGGUGGUGAAACCGCAGCUGGUAGCCAAGGAGGAGGUGUGUCAUUAACAUACGAAAUGGACCUAGCCUGCACAGGAGAUGGGCGUUCUUGCUGCCACAAAGGAGAGAACGCCCAGUGAUGAUGGCCCAUGAAGAUGUUCAUCUCAGAUAGACAGGACCAUCAAGGACAUACAUCUGAAUGCGGGAUUCUGGGAACCGAGGAGCAGAUACACAUCAGUUCCCGGACAAGGUUUUGUCCAGUGCAUGACAGAGAAUAGACACAACAUGAAUAUGAAGAAGUCCAUGGAAGGACAAAGGGACUCCACCUCGGGCAAGAAAAAGAGUAUAAAAAUCGAACUCUGCCAGGCGGCAUUGGUGAAUGGGGGGAUUCGGUGCGAUAGAGGCCUGAUCUGAGUUCAACCAGCUUCAAUCCCGGGGUCGAUGCUGUCCUUGGUUGUUGGCUGUUGGGACUGUAUAUCAGUAGUGAAUGAAUUUUAUUUUUAUUUUUAUUUUUAUUAAAAUCAGUUGGAUCAAUUUUUACUUAACCCGCUGGAUCACAGCAGUGGCGAAAGAAGGAACCAAAGCCCACCAGUUUCCAUGGGAGAGCCACCAGACAAGCAAGAAUCAGUUUUCAGUUUUGCCUGAGCCCCACACCACCCAAAACUGGUUUUGUCGGUUCGGUGACCUCCUUUCUCGGUCUGUGACUCUCUGCCUCUGUUGCUGCUCCUUCUCCCUAACUCCAUCCCAGCCUACCUUCCCCUUAACAAACCCCCGGUAGUCCACUAUGUCCUGCUAAGCCCGGCACAGCAGCCACACAGCUAAGGCUCAGUAUGACUAGGCCUCAUCUCUAGGCCAUGUGUACUGUGGCCACAUGGCCAGAGAUCCAACGUAGCCGCACAUGUCAGCCAAGAUUGCUCCAGCCACAUGACUACUUCUCCUCCCCAAAAUCCCUUUCUUCCCACUUUUUCUCCCUCAUGCUCUGCCCCUUCCCUGUCUCUCAUGAUCCAACCUCCCCUCCAACUCCUAGUUCCCACCUUCCACCUUCCAAAUCCCACAAGAUAGGAGCUGGAACGGGAGAAGAAGCUAAGAAACCAAAAUCCAAGGCUAAAGUAAUUUUGUAAUACCAGUUUUAACAGCCUUGUAUAUUUUGUUUAAUUGAAAAUUCUACUUUAUGAUCUCCUUCACCUCUUAUUCCAAGAGCAAGAUGAUAUCCUUCUCUGCAAUCCAUACCCCUUUUAUUCCUUAUUUUGAGUAGUUCACCAGAAGCAAACUGCUCGAAGGUGCAGGGUACCCCAAAAAGGUUUUUCUUUCGCAGAGUCCCUGGCUCACCGUAACCUCCCCAAUUCCCAAUCACUAUCCAUUUGUUUUAGCUGAAAAGAGCUCAUCAGCUAGAACUUUUAUCCUAAAACCCUCUAACCUUUUUAUUAUUCUUAUCCAAUACCUGUCUUCCCUCCAUUUCCCUCCCAUCCCCAUGAGUAGUUUUUACAAUUAUGCUUUUCUAGUUGAAAUGUGUGUUCAUAUUGCAGAUUGUCCUGUUUUCAGUUUUAGACAGCAGAGGCCUGUCGGGUCAUAAGGGUAGAUCCAACGAGAAGCCAUGUAGAGUCUCCUUGCCUGCCUGCUGCUACCAGUGAACAUACAGCUUAGGGGGCCCUCUGAGGGCUCCCUGGGAACCCCCAAACGAACAGUAACAUUCCACUAGAUCAAGUCACUCAGAGCUGCAUCCAACUAGCCUUGAACGCUUCCAGGGAUGGAACAUUCAGACCUUGUCUGGGUAACCUGUGCCAGAGCCUUACUGCCCUCAUUGUAAAAGAUUUCUUCCUUACAUCUAAUCUAAAUUGACAACGCUUUAGUUGCAAUCCUUUUCAAAUUAUUCUGUAGCAAUAGGCCCUAUUAAAAUGUUUGUCUUUCAUAUAGGCCGCCUUUAGACCUCAUGGACUCCAUCCAGGUCCCUCUAAAUGGCAUCCUGUUCUUCAGGCAUGUCAACCACACCACUGAGCUUGGUGUCACCUGCAAAUGUGGGGAGGGAACACACAAUCCCUUGGUCCAUGUCAUUGACAAUGUCAUUAAAUUAGAUAGUUCCGGUUAGGCCUAGACCACAGAUAGAGAUGGAAGGAUCUAGUAUUGGUCUCUUGGUCCCAAAAGAAGGCUAUGUGUUAUCGGAGAGUUGACUUUGAGAUGAGGAAGGAAACUACAAAGUAAGCUCAAAACCUAUGGUUGUAGGAACCCAUAGAAUUUCUACCUGAAGCCUGUAUUCUUAAAGUAUCUCAAUCUGAAUUAGACUGUUUUUCUGAACUGCUGCCCCCUAAUAAGUGCCUAUGCUGUUUAUCAGCAGCCAGCUGUAAUAUCCAUACAAGAUGGCUAAGCAGUGGAAAAUUAGAGUUUACAACUAACUUUAUAAUUGUAAUCCAUUUAUGUUUCAUGAGGAUGCAAGGCUCUGAGUCAUGCAACUGAGUCCCGUAAAACUGAGUGACACAAAUAUGUGACCACCUGACAAGAGCUUGCAGUCUUUUUUUCUUAUUGCCUAUUUUAUAGAAAAAGAGAAUUGUGACAUUAUUUUGAUGCCUUGUGAAGGCUGACCUAGUAUAGAGGCUAGGUAGGUAAGUAAAGUAUUUAUUAAAGUAGGUUUUUAUUAAAAGGCCUCAGUGGAUACACCUUGGGCAAUACAAGAGCCCAGCCAGGGCUACACCCAAGAUCAACCAAAAUGGUCACAAAAUGGACAAUGGGUCACAAUGUCUUCACUUUUACAAGUUCUGGUCCAUUAGCAUAUUGGAAUUAGUUGUCCAGUUAUAGCUUUAGCUUAUGAAGUCCCAUCCUUCUUGGUUGUUUAUGCUCUUAGGACUGAAAUUUGGAUUAUUUGUCCUGGGUCCCCAGCUAGAGAAGGAAUUGUUUUGUCUAGCUACUCUGUGAAGAGAGCUUGCUAUCCCCUAAUAUGAAGCUCAGAAUUACACACUAAAGUAGUACAGAAUCUAAAAAAUAUAAAAACUAAAACCUGAGGCAUCAGUUUAGAUUGGAAAAGACCUCAAGAUCAUCAAGUUCAACCACUAGUCCAACACUGCAAAGCCCCCCACUAAACCAUGUCCCCAGGUGCCCCAUCCACAUGUCUUUCUGACACCUCCAGGGGAUGAUGACUCCACCACUAGCCUGAGCAGCCUGCUACAGGGCUUGACAAAAGUUUUGGCAAAGAUUUUUUUCCCUAAUAUCCCAACGAAACUGCUCCUGGCACAACUUGAAGACAUUUCCUCUAGCCAUAGAAUUACAGAAUCAUAGAAUGGCUUGGGUUGGAAGGGACCUUAAAGAUCAUGUAGCUCCAACAACUCUGCCGUAGAGACUGGACCUUAUACAGACUGGCCUUUAACAAUUCCAGGGAUCAGACAAUUCCAUGGGAUGUCCUACUGUUUUUCAGUUGGGAGAAUAGAUUGACCCCCACCUGCCUACAACCUUCUCUCAGGUAGUUGUAGACAUUAAUAAGAUCAAAGACUAGUUCUCUAAUGUUUAUGAUGAAAAUCAGUUCUGUUACCGUUUUCUGGACUUGCACCUCAAUGGCUUUCUUGUUAUUGAGGAUUCACAAAAUAAGGUCUCUCCAAAUAGUAAAUAUUCAACAACUUGCAUUUGUGAUAUUUGACCUCCUUUUUUAUUAACUCACAUCCUCUUCUGUCUUCAUUGUCGUUAUAUUGCUGGACUCUGCAGGCUGUUUGAUGUUUAAGUGUAGCCCUUUUAUCAAGUCUAUUCAGGUUCAGGAGCAAAUAAACUAUCAUCAAGGAAGCAUGUUACACAAGGAAACAGGCACUUGUUUCCAGAAUUUAAACCUUCAUGAGAAUGAUGUGCCUCUCUACCAAUGAUCAUGCACAUAUGCUGUGGCGGUCAGGGUUCUGCUGCACAGAGCAAAGCCAAAGUGGAGUGCAAAAAGUUCCUGGAAUGGAAUCAACAGCAUUGGCGGGCUGCACUAGCCUAAAACUGUGCAAUUGUUUGACAGAUGAUGGUCAUCAGAACUGCAUCAUUUGAUUGUGAUGGAUUCAGGCUAAAGAAGAGCACAUCAAGACCAUGAAAACAAGAUCUCUUGAAACAUAUGAGCUUAUUCAACUUAGACAUCCUUUGUCUGUUCAAGCCAGUUAUUCAAAGACAAAGUAUAAAAGAGAAGAAAGAUUUGGGCAAGUUUUGCCCAAGCGAUGAGGAAGGUGAAGAUGACUCAUUGAGUUUUUCAUGGAUGAUUAUGUUGACCCAAAUGGAAAAGACUCCAAAAAUUUAAAUUAUUCCUGUUGAACCAAAUGAUCUUAGAUACAGGCUUCACAUUUUGAUAUUUUUCAUCACUUCAGGGAGAGCUAGAAGUAGCUCGUGGGAAGUAUCAAAAGUACAUGAGUUAAAUAGAGCAGAUGCUCCCAGAAAGCAGUUAAUUUCAGGCUAUCAGCAUGAUUUAAAGUCUUUCUGCAAAGGACUUUACAAAACAAGGAGCGCAAUGAACUGCAGAUUUCAAAAUGCACCAGUAGUGUGAAGUAAACAGUACACAGCUCAUGACCAGUGGAUGAUUAUGCCAUACGGUGGAGUCCUAAUCUACAUGGCAGCUGGAAGAGGGAAUGGAUUUGGAAUUUUACAUCAUUGCAAUGAGCCUUGAGGUACUCAGAUCAACAAAUCACCAAUGAGAUUUCUCUUGUGUGAUAGAGUAACCAAUUGGAAUGAAAAGUUGUGAACAGACUCCCACUUGAGAAAGUAAGUGAAUAUGAGAGACAAAUGGACAGAGAGAGAGAGAGAGAGGCAUGGGAAAGAAAGGGAGGGAGAAAGGGAGAGAAGGAGUUAAGGUGCAACAGCAAGCAGAGAAAAAACUAGUAUAGAUAACAGCAAAACCACUUACUACAUUUUUUAGUGUUUUCAACCUCAGGAAAGCCAGUUCUGAGAAGAUCAUAUUGUUCAAACAAGGGGUUAAUCACCAUGUUCAUGGACUGUGAACAGGCCAGCUUGUGGCAGAGAGGAGUCUGGUGAGGGAACAGAAAUUAUAUUUGGAGCAGUAAGGAACCAGGAGGGAGGCCAGCCAUGCAUACUCUGCACCAUUAGCCUGACAUGUGGCCAUGACUGCUUGAAGAGUAAAAGUGUGGAGGAAGAGAAGUAAGGCCAUGCCAGAAGAGUUAACUCAGCUAAGAUCUGUGACCAGGAAGAAAAACAGUUUUGAGGCAGAAGUGUGUCUGGAUAGGAGCUGCCAUUAUGGUGGAAGGAAACAUACUUGGAACACAGUCUAAACACCAUAAUAAAAUCAGGUAGCAAGCAUCUGUCUGACAUCAAAAAACAACAAACAUCUCUGGGUUUGAUCUCUCUCAGUUCUUUUAAAAGUUAAUUAGUAUUUUUUUUAGUAUUUCUUAGCCUUAAUUGCGUUCUGUAAUAGUCAUAGUACAAAGCUUAAACAUGUUAACUUCACUUAAUGAUGUUAAACUUUUAUCUCCCUCUCAGGUUAGAUAAAAAUUUAAGCCCUUAUCCUCUGUUGAAAACACUUUUAUGUUAAAAAGUAACAAGAUGAGUGUACAAGGUAGAAAUUACUAUAUAUUUAGACUCCUAGGUCUAGAUCAUUAAGCUACAAGACAUUCUAUUGCAGAAAUAAGAUUACUGUGCAUUUACCCAAAUGAAUAUUUUAUUGUCCAGGACUGCUUAUACAGACAAGUAAAUACUGCAAAAUAGUAGUUCUGUAGUACAAUCAUUGGCUUUGAGGAUCUGGUGCAUGCAUUAUAUGUGUUUCCUGGUAGUUGACUUUGAACGUGCUGAAAUCUUUGGCCGCUGCCAAAUCAAAAUGGAAAUUUUGGGUAAUGGGUAAAAGAUCACACAUCCCUGUGUAGUUGAGGCAGAAAAGGGGGUUUUACCUGGGACUCUGGUUCUUAAGGAAAAGGACAUGAAAGCCUUUCAGGCCACCACUUCUCACGAAAAUGUACUAACAGUAGCAGUGAAUUAUUUAAAUCUUUAUUAAACCACUUCACAACAAAUAAUAAUGCAUCAAGUGCUCUCUUGCCUUGUAGCAGUCUUACUCUAAGAAGGAAAUUAUUAACCAAAUGAGUUUUUAAGUAUUUAAGACACCAAUUUAGUUAAUCUCUAAAAUAUAUAUUUCUUCAGGGUUUACCAAGAAGUUCUCUUACUUUGUGCAAACAUCAGAAAACAACAUAUCUGCAUAUAUAAAUUUUUGAAGUAGUAAAGAUUAAUUUUUCAUUGAUGAACUACUUAAGUUUCAUAUGUGAAAUUGUGUGCAGAUCCUCUAGUCUGUUGGGCACUCAGAAAAAAACCCCAAAAGACAGUAGCAAUGUGUUCUGUUAAAUUAAUGGAGGGUUCAGAUUUAACAUAAUACAUAAUAUGCAGUGAAUGUGGAUGAAAUAGGUUCAUUCACUUUAUUUUGCAAAAAUCAAGAAAAGAAGGAAAAAUAUGUCCUUAGAGCCAUUUCUCUUUUUCACAUUCUUGCAGGAGUCAACCAGUUAUCUCUCAGGCUGUUCUCCUUUCAGUUUCUUCACUUUGGUAAAAGCUUCAACGUGACAAUUUUUCCCCCUCGAAAAAUGCUUUUACUUUGUACUCUCCCAGCUCCCCACCUACUGUGAGAAAAACUCCUCUCUAAACAGCUGGAUAGGGAAAGUAAUUUUCUCUGGUUUUACAGAGAGAACAUGCUUGAAGGAGAGAAGCACUUAAUCUGGGGUUUUUUUCCCCCCCAACAGAGAUGACAGUGAAUUGAGCUUACUAAUGCAGACAUCAUCCUCAUAGUUAAGAUGGCAAAGAAUUGAUUGAUUCAUGACAACAUUUUUUAGGGCCUACUGGGAAGAAGAGUUUCUGGAAUGAUUGAUCAGCAUUUUUCAUCUGUCACUUGAGGUAAGUUGUUAAAUCACUUGAAACCUGAAGGUGUUGCCAGGUUGGUAUCUAAAUAAAUUUAUCCCUGUGAUGACACCCUGUUCUCUGUUUUAAUCAGCAAAGCUGUGACUGAUCAGAAAGUAUUUUUGGGUGAUUUUCAGCUUGUAUAUCUAGCAAUCCACUGUGUUUUGAUUGAACCUACUGCACACACUUACAUAUGCAAAGUAAAGCCUGGAGAGGAGCUGAUGGACACAGAGAACUGGUGCUUUGUGAAAAAGACAUCGUGAAUGCCUGCUGGAGACAGGGGAGUUGCAGAUAAAAAGAAGGUAUAAGAGGGAUAUUAAACUCACAAGGUUGUCGGAAGGAUGAGUCCUGCCUAAACUGAGAAAUAGUAAGCAGGUGAAGAUAAACUUGUGAGGAUAAUUAUAAACUAUGGGCUUUUUCAUCAGUUUGUAAGUUUACACAAGAGUAACUUUCCCUUUAUGUAUUGCAUUCCAAGUAAGGCAAAUUUUUUGGAAGUUUUUCAACAGAAGAGAGUUGUAAAUCAGAUACAGCAUGGAAACUGUCAGGAGAAUAAAAACAUGAGAGGUAUCAGAAAUUGAUGCAUCUGAACAGUGAUGAAGCAGUAGGAUAAGGCUGAGUAAACAUGGAGUUACAAGAGGCCAGUGUUUGUGUGCAAAACCUCCAACUCCAUCAUCUGGUCUCUGCAUCAGGUCCUUACUGCAAACCAGCCCAGAAACAUUUUCUGUGUCUUCUGAAGAACUACACAGAAAUCAUUAUUUCCAUAUCAAAGGAAAGCAUAUUCUUCCUAACGUUCAGCCUCUAAAUUCCAAGUGAUUUACCUACUCGCAUCCAUAACACAGAUGUCGGUGCACAUACAAUCCAAUUUACAUUCAUGCCUUUAAGCAAGGUCUCCUCACCAGUUUUUAAGCACUUUAUCUUCAUCCAUUGCAUGUCUCUGGUGGUGUACACCAAUUCAAUAACAAUCCUAUGCUCUUUUACUUUCUCCCUGUUUUAGAGUUAAAUACAUAAAAAACUUAAACAUAAAUAAAAUAAUGAUAAAAUCAUUUCAUGAGAGUUACACUAACAGAUGCUGCUCUGCCCAUAGGAUAGAUAAAAUAGAUGCUAACAGUCAAUGAAAGCAAAGGUUGAACUAAUAUCCAAAAUGUUACACUUACUCUACCUCCUAGAAAUUUCCAUCUUCAGUUCAUGAUAUCAAAUACCCCUAAACAAGUGCUCAAGUCUGUUCAUAGGCAGUAUGUAGUGGUCCAUCAGUAAUGAUGAAACAGUGCUUCAUGUUUCUGAUGUCAGUGUCUGCAGAAAAAAUUAAAUGGGCAUAUUUUGAAAACAGUAAUCCUUCAUUCUUGUGUUUAACAAAGUAACCUCAGCAACUUCCACCUUCUUGCAGCUUUUUGCCUUUCCAGAAAAGCUAGUUCCAUUUCAGCUAGCAUCUAAAGUGCAUCUUCUUUGCUACUUCGACUUUAAACUUUUAUCUGUAUUCAGAAAUUCUAAAAUCAAUUGACUCAACAUGCCAGGAGCAAAGGAAUAUUAUGCAGGAACAUAAGUGAUGGUCCUGAAACAGAGACAGGUUACAUAAUUCAAGAAUAAUAUUUCUGCAAAUAUUUUCCACUAAAGGUUCAUGCACGUGUUGGUCCAUUAAAAUCUUUCCUUGUUUUACUUGCCAGCUUUCAGAAAUUUGAGCUGUGUCAAAUGGGCUACACAAGUUCCCGCAGUUGAAAAUCAACACAGAAAUGAGAAGAUAUGUUGCUGAUAAUGUAUUGAGAAAUGAAAAGAGAAACCAGCCCCAGAAACAACAGAAGCCAAAAGCCAACUCUUAGAAGUUAAAAAAUAAAAUGUGUCAAGACUGGAAAUUACCUAUCUCAAGCAGAAAUAGAGUGAAGCCUUAAAUAUUCACAGGAAUCAUAGUUAAACACAGUGUAUUCAGGAUACAUAAAUUCAGGGUGUCAUGGUAUUCAGAUGCUUGAAUUGUUUAGAAGACACUAAUUUACAGUUGCUAAAAUGUUUGGGAUGUCAGUUGCUCCUUCAAUGGCAUAUUUCUCUCCCUAUCCUAAACUGAUGGAGGUACUCUGAUAUCGCAGUCUUCAGCUCACAUUACUUACAAUGAGAAAAAAAAAAAAAAGAAAAAGCUAAAUACUGAAAUAAAAAGCAUCUGUAUUCUU